ACACACACACACACACACACAAACGUUCUGCUUAUCUUUUAGUAGGGAGGGGGUGCAGUUGACUCUCAUACAUUUAUAGGUGUGUGUGUGUGUGUGUGUGUGUGUGUGU